UCUGAAUCUCUUACUCAACAUGAAAGUGUUUGCCUUGCCUUUGUACUCAUUGACUGUUUGACCUGUAUGCGUCUUAUGCAGCUGUGAGAAUUUGUCCGAUUCAUGGUCUUCAAGUGUGGUUCAGAUAUUUGGUCCAGCAGAACUGUUAAAACCAACUGGUGAAGGAACAAAUGUGAGUAUCGAGUGUCUAGCGGUUAAACCAGAAAGGGAAGGAGAAGCUUGUUAAACUUGCCAUUUUUUUCUAGUUCCUAGAGGACAUCUGCAAUGUUCAUCUUCCUGUAUUUAAUGAUCUUCGUCAAGCGUAGUUUAGCUGUCAGUACCAACGAAGGGAAAGAGUUUGUCAUCUCGACCCCUUCCUCCAUACUAAACCAUGACGCCUUCAAUAUGUUCCCGAGACUGACGCUCACCAUGGUGUCAGCGGAUGACUGCCAGGUCAGGAUACUAACCCACUGGGCAUUAAAUCCGGAUCUUAUCACUAACACCACGAUCGACUUGCCAGCUGACAAGGCCAAGGUC
rnacentral:sRNA from 1 species